rnacentral:lncRNA from 1 species
GUGACAUGUCCCUGGACCCAACACCUACAGGAUUGGAUCAGAGGCUACUGAAUAAGCCCUGCCCAUAGAUGGCCUUGUGACAUAUGUCUGCAUCUAUGGCCUGAGUGAUGUGACUCUUUUUCUGCCUGCAUCCUGCACAGAGAGAAGAUUGUGACAUAUCGCUGGGCCCAGUUACCAGGUGAUGUGUCUUUUCUGGCAAGUCUUUUCCCACAGGGAGCAUUGUGAAAUAUCACUGGGCUCAGCCACCAGAUUAUGUGACUCUUCUGCCUGUGCCCUGCUUCCAGGAAAUAUUGUGACAUCCCUCAUACAGCAUCCAGGUGAUGUGACUCUUCUGCUCAUUUUCUACUUACAGGAGACAUGCCCCAAAAAGGGAUUGUGGCAUAUCUCUGAGCCCAGCACCCAAAUGUUGUGACUCUCCUGCCCGGGCUGUGCCUAGAGAAAAUAUAAUAUGUCACUGGGCCCUACAUGCAAGUGAUCUGAUUCUCCAGCCUGGGCCUUGCCCAUAGGGGAGAUUGAGACAUAUUGCAGGUGAAGAAUUCAGGUCAUGCAAAUGGAGGCGGAUUGUGACAUAUAGAGCCAACAUAACACACAGUCUGCAGGUGGAAUUGGGACGGACUCUCAUGCAUGGAUCCAGUUCAUCAUUGAUAUUGUGACUCAUGUACUUGGAUGCCACUCACAGGAGGUGUUGACACUUUUACCUGAAGCUGGGACAUGUGUGGAAUUGUGAAUCUUAGCCCUAGAUCUUCCCACAAGUGGGAUUUUGACAUAUAACUACACCCAGCACAUGGGUGAAGCAUCUUGUAUGCUCAUCCUGCCAAAAGUUAUGAGUGUCACCCUCACACAUGGACAGAGACCUCUGGUUAGGUCUCUUGUACAUGAACAAGAAUCUUGUACAUGGACACAGUCCACAGUUGGAAUGUCAUAUGUAGAUCCAGCCACAGGUGUGAUGUUGACCUAUUUAUAAAGUUAGCUCACAGGCACAUUGAUUACUCUCAUACCUGGAUCCAGCCAAUAAAAGAUAUGUUGACUAUUAUA